rnacentral:rRNA from 1 species
AGUCGAGCGAGAAGCCACCUUCGGGUGGUGGGCAGCGGCGGACGGGUGAGUAACGCGUGGGGAUCUGCCCAGGAGUGGGGGACAACCGCUGGAAACGGCGGCUAAUACCGCAUACGCCCAUGGAGUGUGAUGCUCUGUGGGGAAAGAUUUAUCGCUCCUGGAUGAUCCCGCGUCGGAUUAGUUUGUUGGUGGGGUAACGGCCUACCAAGACGACGAUCCGUAGCUGGUUUGAGAGGAUGAUCAGCCACACUGGGACUGAGACACGGCCCAGACUCCUACGGGAGGCAGCAGUGGGGAAUAUUGCACAAUGGGCGCAAGCCUGAUGCAGCCAUGCCGCGUGAGUGAAGAAGGCCUUAGGGUUGUAAAGCUCUUUCAACGGUGAAGAUGAUGACGGUAGCCGUAGAAGAAGCCCCGGCUAACUCCGUGCCAGCAGCCGCGGUAAUACGGAGGGGGCAAGCGUUGUUCGGAAUUACUGGGCGUAAAGGGCACGUAGGCGGCGAUGCGGGUCAGGUGUGAAAGCCCCGGGCUUAACCUGGGAACUGCACUUGAAACUGCAUUGCUUGAGGACGGAAGAGGAGAAUGGAAUUCCCAGUGUAGAGGUGAAAUUCGUAGAUAUUGGGAAGAACACCAG